rnacentral:rRNA from 1 species
ACACGUCUACAUUAGAUACCCGGGUAGUCCCAGCCGUAAACUAUGCGCGUUAGGUGUAUCGGUGACCACGAGUUACCGAGGUGCCGAAGGGAAACCGUGAAACGUGCCGCCUGGGAAGUACGGUCGCAAGGCUGAACUUAAAGGAAUUGGCGGGGAGCACCACAACGGGUGGAGCCUGCGGUUUAAUUAGACUCAACGCCGGGAAGCUCACCGGAUAAGACAGCGGAAUGAUUGCCGGGCUGAAGACUCUGCAUGACUAGCUG